GUACCCACAAUUACUUGGAUAACUGUGGUAAUUCUAGAGCUAAUACAUGCAAACAGAGCUCCAACCGGAGACGGAAGGAGUGCUUUUAUUAGAUCAAAACCAAUCGGUGGCGAGUUUAGGCUCGUCAUCGUUCAACUUGGUGACUCUGAAUAACUUUACGCUGAUCGCACGGUCUCGCACCGGCGACGCAUCUUUCAAAUGUCUGCCUUAUCAACUGUCGAUGGUAGGUUCUGCGCCUACCAUGGUUGUAACGGGUAACGGGGAAUCAGGGUUCGAUUCCGGAGAGGGAGCCUGAGAAACGGCUACCACAUCCAAGGAAGGCAGCAGGCGCGCAAAUUACCCACUCCCGGCACGGGGAGGUAGUGACGAAAAAUAACGAUACGGG
rnacentral:rRNA from 2 species